GGCUAGCUCAGCGGUAGAGCACUUGCCUAGCAUGCAUGAGGCACUGAGUUCGACACUCAGCACCA
rnacentral:tRNA from 1 species